AUGCAUUCACAGGUCCCAGUGGAUAAUAAGAAGAAAAUUUGAAGGUCGAAUAUUCCACUAAAAGUUGAGACCUUCAUGUGGUAUCUUCAGAAGGGAGGAGUGCUAACCAAAGAUAACCUCGCCGGUUGUAACUGACAAGGAAGCAAGAAGUGUAGCUUUUGUACUCAUGACGAGACAAUCAGACACGUCUUUUUUUAGUGCAAGUUUUCGUGUUCUACGUGGUCAAUCCUUCAAAUAGCGUCUAAUCUUUAUCCACCCACAUGUGUUGUUAAUAUUCUUGGUCAUUCGCUGGACAGUAUUCCUUAUAGAUUCAAAACACUAAUAAAGGUGGAAGCGUAUGCCUUAUUAUUGUUGCUUUGGCUAUGUAGAAAUGAUGUGAUUUUUAAUGACAAAAACUCUUCUCCGUUACAGGUUAUUUCCGUUGUACGCAAUCGCUUCAUACAUGGUCUAUACUUCACAAUACGGAGUUCCAACCGCUGUUCAAAGCGGUGUGUACGUAACUGGAGCGAGUGGCCAUGGAGGUUUUUUCCCAAUAUGGGUGGCAGCAUAACCUCUGUAUCGGCCAAUCACGUCCUUCGACAUAGGCAUAAUGACGCUCUUAUUUGA
rnacentral:rRNA from 1 species